rnacentral:rRNA from 1 species
GGGUUGUGAGGUUAAGCGACUAAGCGUACACGGUGGAUGCCCUGGCAGUCAGAGGCGAUGAAGGACGUGCUAAUCUGCGAUAAGCGUCGGUAAGGUGAUAUGAACCGUUAUAACCGGCGAUUUCCGAAUGGGGAAACCCAGUGUGUUUCGACACACUAUCAUUAACUGAAUCCAUAGGUUAAUGAGGCGAACCGGGGGAACUGAAACAUCUAAGUACCCCGAGGAAAAGAAAUCAACCGAGAUUCCCCCAGUAGCGGCGAGCGAACGGGGAGGAGCCCAGAGCCUGAAUCAGUGUGUGUGUUAGUGGAAGCGUCUGGAAAGGCGCGCGAUACAGGGUGACAGCCCCGUACACAAAAAUGCACAUGCUGUGAGCUCGAUGAGUAGGGCGGGACACGUGGUAUCCUGUCUGAAUAUGGGGGGACCAUCCUCCAAGGCUAAAUACUCCUGACUGACCGAUAGUGAACCAGUACCGUGAGGGAAAGGCGAAAAGAACCCCGGCGAGGGGAGUGAAAAAGAACCUGAAACCGUGUACGUACAAGCAGUGGGAGCACGCUUAGGCGUGUGACUGCGUACCUUUUGUAUAAUGGGUCAGCGACUUAUAUUCUGUAGCAAGGUUAACCGAAUAGGGGAGCCGAAGGGAAACCGAGUCUUAACUGGGCGUUAAGUUGCAGGGUAUAGACCCGAAACCCGGUGAUCUAGCCAUGGGCAGGUUGAAGGUUGGGUAACACUAACUGGAGGACCGAACCGACUAAUGUUGAAAAAUUAGCGGAUGACUUGUGGCUGGGGGUGAAAGGCCAAUCAAACCGGGAGAUAGCUGGUUCUCCCCGAAAGCUAUUUAGGUAGCGCCUCGUGAAUUCAUCUCCGGGGGUAGAGCACUGUUUCGGCAAGGGGGUCAUCCCGACUUACCAACCCGAUGCAAACUGCGAAUACCGGAGAAUGUUAUCACGGGAGACACACGGCGGGUGCUAACGUCCGUCGUGAAGAGGGAAACAACCCAGACCGCCAGCUAAGGUCCCAAAGUCAUGGUUAAGUGGGAAACGAUGUGGGAAGGCCCAGACAGCCAGGAUGUUGGCUUAGAAGCAGCCAUCAUUUAAAGAAAGCGUAAUAGCUCACUGGUCGAGUCGGCCUGCGCGGAAGAUGUAACGGGGCUAAACCAUGCACCGAAGCUGCGGCAGCGACGCUUAUGCGUUGUUGGGUAGGGGAGCGUUCUGUAAGCCUGCGAAGGUGUGCUGUGAGGCAUGCUGGAGGUAUCAGAAGUGCGAAUGCUGACAUAAGUAACGAUAAAGCGGGUGAAAAGCCCGCUCGCCGGAAGACCAAGGGUUCCUGUCCAACGUUAAUCGGGGCAGGGUGAGUCGACCCCUAAGGCGAGGCCGAAAGGCGUAGUCGAUGGGAAACAGGUUAAUAUUCCUGUACUUGGUGUUACUGCGAAGGGGGGACGGAGAAGGCUAUGUUGGCCGGGCGACGGUUGUCCCGGUUUAAGCGUGUAGGCUGGUUUUCCAGGCAAAUCCGGAAAACUAAGGCUGAGGCGUGAUGACGAGGCACUACGGUGCUGAAGCAACAAAUGCCCUGCUUCCAGGAAAAGCCUCUAAGCAUCAGGUAACAUCAAAUCGUACCCCAAACCGACACAGGUGGUCAGGUAGAGAAUACCAAGGCGCUUGAGAGAACUCGGGUGAAGGAACUAGGCAAAAUGGUGCCGUAACUUCGGGAGAAGGCACGCUGAUAUGUAGGUGAAGUCCCUCGCGGAUGGAGCUGAAAUCAGUCGAAGAUACCAGCUGGCUGCAACUGUUUAUUAAAAACACAGCACUGUGCAAACACGAAAGUGGACGUAUACGGUGUGACGCCUGCCCGGUGCCGGAAGGUUAAUUGAUGGGGUUAGCGCAAGCGAAGCUCUUGAUCGAAGCCCCGGUAAACGGCGGCCGUAACUAUAACGGUCCUAAGGUAGCGAAAUUCCUUGUCGGGUAAGUUCCGACCUGCACGAAUGGCGUAAUGAUGGCCAGGCUGUCUCCACCCGAGACUCAGUGAAAUUGAACUCGCUGUGAAGAUGCAGUGUACCCGCGGCAAGACGGAAAGACCCCGUGAACCUUUACUAUAGCUUGACACUGAACAUUGAGCCUUGAUGUGUAGGAUAGGUGGGAGGCUUUGAAGUGUGGACGCCAGUCUGCAUGGAGCCGACCUUGAAAUACCACCCUUUAAUGUUUGAUGUUCUAACGUGGACCCGUAAUCCGGGUUGCGGACAGUGUCUGGUGGGUAGUUUGACUGGGGCGGUCUCCUCCUAAAGAGUAACGGAGGAGCACGAAGGUUGGCUAAUCCUGGUCGGACAUCAGGAGGUUAGUGCAAUGGCAUAAGCCAGCUUGACUGCGAGCGUGACGGCGCGAGCAGGUGCGAAAGCAGGUCAUAGUGAUCCGGUGGUUCUGAAUGGAAGGGCCAUCGCUCAACGGAUAAAAGGUACUCCGGGGAUAACAGGCUGAUACCGCCCAAGAGUUCAUAUCGACGGCGGUGUUUGGCACCUCGAUGUCGGCUCAUCACAUCCUGGGGCUGAAGUAGGUCCCAAGGGUAUGGCUGUUCGCCAUUUAAAGUGGUACGCGAGCUGGGUUUAGAACGUCGUGAGACAGUUCGGUCCCUAUCUGCCGUGGGCGCUGGAGAACUGAGGGGGGCUGCUCCUAGUACGAGAGGACCGGAGUGGACGCAUCACUGGUGUUCGGGUUGUCAUGCCAAUGGCACUGCCCGGUAGCUAAAUGCGGAAGAGAUAAGUGCUGAAAGCAUCUAAGCACGAAACUUGCCCCGAGAUGAGUUCUCCCUGACUCCUUGAGAGUCCUGAAGGAACGUUGAAGACGACGACGUUGAUAGGCCGGGUGUGUAAGCGCAGCGAUGCGUUGAGCUAACCGGUACUAAUGAACCGUGAGGCUUAACCUUACAACGCCGAAGGUGUUU